rnacentral:rRNA from 1 species
UUAAGUUAGAAAGGGCGCACGGUGGAUGCCUUGACACUAGGAGUCGAUGAAGGACGGGACUAACGCCGAUAUGCUUCGGGGAGCUGUAAGUAAGCUUUGAUCCGAAGAUUUCCGAAUGGGGAAACCCACCAUACGUAAUGGUAUGGUAUCCUUAUCUGAAUACAUAGGGUAAGGAAGACAGACCCAGGGAACUGAAACAUCUAAGUACCUGGAGGAAGAGAAAGCAAAUGCGAUUUCCUGAGUAGCGGCGAGCGAAACGGAACAUAGCCCAAACCAAGAGGCUUGCCUCUUGGGGUUGUAGGACAUUCUAUACGGAGUUACAAAGGAACGAGGUAGACGAAGCGACCUGGAAAGGUCCGUCGUAGAGGGUAACAACCCCGUAGUCGAAACUUCGUUCUCUCUUGAAUGUAUCCUGAGUACGGCGGAACACGUGAAAUUCCGUCGGAAUCUGGGAGGACCAUCUCCCAAGGCUAAAUACUCCCUAGUGAUCGAUAGUGAACCAGUACCGUGAGGGAAAGGUGAAAAGCACCCCGGAAGGGGAGUGAAAGAGAUCCUGAAACCGUGUGCCUACAAAUAGUCAGAGCCCGUUAACGGGUGAUGGCGUGCCUUUUGUAGAAUGAACCGGCGAGUUACGAUCCCGUGCGAGGUUAAGCUGAAGAGGCGGAGCCGCAGCGAAAGCGAGUCUGAAUAGGGCGUUUAGUACGUGGUCGUAGACCCGAAACCAGGUGAUCUACCCAUGUCCAGGGUGAAGUUCAGGUAACACUGAAUGGAGGCCCGAACCCACGCACGUUGAAAAGUGCGGGGAUGAGGUGUGGGUAGCGGAGAAAUUCCAAUCGAACCUGGAGAUAGCUGGUUCUCCCCGAAAUAGCUUUAGGGCUAGCCUUAAGUGUAAGAGUCUUGGAGGUAGAGCACUGAUUGGACUAGGGGUCCUCAUCGGAUUACCGAAUUCAGUCAAACUCCGAAUGCCAAUGACUUAUCCUUAGGAGUCAGACUGCGAGUGAUAAGAUCCGUAGUCAAAAGGGAAACAGCCCAGACCGCCAGCUAAGGUCCCAAAGUGUGUAUUAAGUGGAAAAGGAUGUGGAGUUGCUUAGACAACUAGGAUGUUGGCUUAGAAGCAGCCACCAUUUAAAGAGUGCGUAAUAGCUCACUAGUCGAGUGACUCUGCGCCGAAAAUGUACCGGGGCUAAAUACACCACCGAAGCUGCGGAUUGAUACCAAUGGUAUCAGUGGUAGGGGAGCGUUCUAAGGACAGUGAAGUCAGACCGGAAGGACUGGUGGAGUGCUUAGAAGUGAGAAUGCCGGUAUGAGUAGCGAAAGACGGGUGAGAAUCCCGUCCACCGAAUGCCUAAGGUUUCCUGAGGAAGGCUCGUCCGCUCAGGGUUAGUCAGGACCUAAGCCGAGGCCGACAGGCGUAGGCGAUGGACAACAGGUUGAUAUUCCUGUACCACCUCUUUAUCGUUUGAGCAAUGGAGGGACGCAGAAGGAUAGAAGAAGCGUGCGAUUGGUUGUGCACGUCCAAGCAGUUAGGCUGAUAAGUAGGCAAAUCCGCUUAUCGUAAAGGCUGAGCUGUGAUGGGGAAGCUCCUUAUGGAGCGAAGUCUUUGAUUCCCCGCUGCCAAGAAAAGCUUCUAGCGAGAUAAAAGGUGCCUGUACCGCAAACCGACACAGGUAGGCGAGGAGAGAAUCCUAAGGUGUGCGAGAGAACUCUGGUUAAGGAACUCGGCAAAAUGACCCCGUAACUUCGGGAGAAGGGGUGCUUUCUUAACGGAAAGCCGCAGUGAAUAGGCCCAAGCGACUGUUUAGCAAAAACACAGCUCUCUGCGAAGCCGUAAGGCGAAGUAUAGGGGGUGACACCUGCCCGGUGCUGGAAGGUUAAGGAGAGGGGUUAGCGUAAGCGAAGCUCUGAACUGAAGCCCCAGUAAACGGCGGCCGUAACUAUAACGGUCCUAAGGUAGCGAAAUUCCUUGUCGGGUAAGUUCCGACCCGCACGAAAGGUGUAACGAUUUGGGCACUGUCUCAACCAGAGACUCGGUGAAAUUAUAGUACCUGUGAAGAUGCAGGUUACCCGCGACAGGACGGAAAGACCCCGUGGAGCUUUACUGUAGCCUGAUAUUGAAUUUUGGUACAGUUUGUACAGGAUAGGCGGGAGCCAUUGAAACCGGAGCGCUAGCUUCGGUGGAGGCGCUGGUGGGAUACCGCCCUGACUGUAUUGAAAUUCUAACCUACGGGUCUUAUCGACCCGGGAGACAGUGUCAGGUGGGCAGUUUGACUGGGGCGGUCGCCUCCUAAAGUGUAACGGAGGCGCCCAAAGGUUCCCUCAGAAUGGUUGGAAAUCAUUCGUAGAGUGCAAAGGCAUAAGGGAGCUUGACUGCGAGACCUACAAGUCGAGCAGGGACGAAAGUCGGGCUUAGUGAUCCGGUGGUUCCGCAUGGAAGGGCCAUCGCUCAACGGAUAAAAGCUACCCCGGGGAUAACAGGCUUAUCUCCCCCAAGAGUCCACAUCGACGGGGAGGUUUGGCACCUCGAUGUCGGCUCAUCGCAUCCUGGGGCUGUAGUCGGUCCCAAGGGUUGGGCUGUUCGCCCAUUAAAGCGGUACGCGAGCUGGGUUCAGAACGUCGUGAGACAGUUCGGUCCCUAUCCGUCGUGGGCGUAGGAAAUUUGAGAGGAGCUGUCCUUAGUACGAGAGGACCGGGAUGGACGCACCGCUGGUGUACCAGUUGUUCUGCCAAGGGCAUAGCUGGGUAGCUAUGUGCGGAAGGGAUAAGUGCUGAAAGCAUCUAAGCAUGAAGCCCCCCUCAAGAUGAGAUUUCCCAUAGCGUAAGCUAGUAAGAUCUCUGAAAGAUGAUCAGGUUGAUAGGUUCGAGGUGGAAGCAUGGUGACAUGUGGAGCUGACGAAUACUAAUAGAUCGAGGACUUAACCAU